rnacentral:rRNA from 1 species
UGGGCAACCUGCCCUCAGCUCUGGGAUAACUCCAAGAAAUUGGGGCUAAUACCGGAUAUGACCGCUGACCGCAUGGUCUGGUGGUGGAAAGAUUUAUCGGCUGGGGAUGGGCCCGCGGCCUAUCAGCUUGUUGGUGGGGUAGUGGCCUACCAAGGCGACGACGGGUAACCGGCCUGAGAGGGUGACCGGCCACACUGGGACUGAGACACGGCCCAGACUCCGUACGGGAG